CCCUCUCCCUCUCUCGUUCACAAGCAUAUCAAUGCUCUCAAUUCUUUGCCUUCUCAAUUUUUUUUUGCCAAAAUUUUUCAUUUGUUCUGUUGUGUUCUACUUGCCUAGAGGAAGCAUUGGUAAAAGAAAAGAUAUGGGCUCUGAUAUCACAAAAUGAAUCUUCGGUUGUGCCAAUUUCUGUGGCUUCAAAGCUAUCAAUUGAGGAUAGCAUGGCAUGUGUUGAUCUUCUUGAAGUGCUUCUUGUGGAACAUUUACAACAGUAAAUUUUAUUAUAAAUGUCAAAAAGUUGUCUACAGUUUAUGUCUUUAUUGUGUUUUGUUUUCUUCAUCCUACAGUACAUUAUCCAACUUCUCUGUCAAAUUGUUGUUACAGUUACUGGUUUUUUUAUAUGUCAUCCGAGGUGGGAUAUUCGAAGAAUGACAUAUAAUGUUACUAGGAAGAUUAUCACGUCUGCUCCUAAGUUAUCUGAAGAUCUAUUCUUGGAAUUUUCAAAGUACCUUUCUUUGAUUGGAGAAAAAAAUUUAGCCUUAAAAAUAAGUGAUAUUGAUAUUUCUUUGAACCCUCAAGUUUCGUCUGUUCCAUCUGUUGAGGUGUUGGUUAAGCUCUGCUUAUGAUGUCACCACUCUGAAACAUGCUCCAGAUUCAUUUGUCAGAAUAUUACUUUGCUCAUGUCAUCCAUGUGUAGUUGGUAGUGCAAAAAGAGAUGUGGUGUGGAAGGUAGCUUUUCUUCAUACUUGUGUGUUGUCUUAUAUAAUUUGCACUUAAUUAGUUUAUUUUUUGCCAAUUGGUCUAUCUCUCUUUCAAAUUAUUGUUAAUCCAUUAUUACUUGAAUUUUGAUAACCAAAUAAAAGGGAAAAGUGCAUGGAUAUGUAUUAUUGUUAUAAUUAUAGAAAAAAAGAAGCUGAACCUAUAUAUUAUAU